ensembl:lncRNA novel transcript
CUUUCAUAGGAGUGUUACAAAGAUUAAUGAUAGGGCCCUAAAUGCUCCUUGGGGGAGGCCGUGUGUGAUUAUGUGAUUAUUUCUUUUCAGCAUACCACUCUCUGCAAAGUUUUUCAUAAAGAUCUGUCAGUUUCCCUGAAACAAACCAGAGAGCAGAUAGUUAUACAAUUUACUGUGUCCUGGGGAUGUGGGGCUGUGUCUGGGGCUUUCUAGUGCAUACUAUGUUAUAGGUUAGAAUCCCUGGUAGACCAGGUAUUGUUAAGUAGUACUGCUGCAUGUUGCCUGGGGGUGGGGUGACUGGCUGGAGAAUAGAGAGACGGCUGCGUACAAAAGUAAAGUGAAAGGAAAAAAGAAAAGUAAACACCAGGACACAGGGCAGAGAAUAUGCUUCUAAAUAAAAUCAGUUGUCUCUUCUCAGUUUUAA